rnacentral:tRNA from 1 species
GCCGAGGUAGUUUAACUGGUAAAACGUAGCACUGCAGGCUAUAAUGGCGGUUCAAGACCGGCUCUCGGCGCCA